UCGGACUUAGCGGCGGACGGGUGAGUAACGCGUGGGAACAUACCCUUUGGUACGGAAUAGCCUCGGGAAACUGGGAGUAAUACCGUAUGUGCCCUUCGGGGGAAAGAUUUAUCGCCAAAAGAUGAGCCCGCAUUUGAUUAGCUAGUUGGUGAGGUAAAAGCUCACCAAGGCGAUAAUCAAUAGCUGAUUUGAGAGGACGAUCAGCCACACUGGAACUGAGACACGGUCCAGACUCC
rnacentral:rRNA from 1 species